rnacentral:snoRNA from 1 species
UUAAAUCGAUCAGAUGUUUUCCCCUGACGGCCAUUAGACGCAAAAAAACUGGUUCAAUGAAGUUGAUGA